UUCGGAUCAGAGUGUUCGUUAUUGUAUGCGAUGGCGAAGCCUGCGGCCGGGUGAGUGAAGGGCAGCUGAUUUUGGGAGGCGUCCGGAGGGCCGCGCGUGAUAGUGGAUAUGGUCCCUGCAACGUUUUUGUGUGUGUAGCUAUGACGGGAGAUGUGUUGGAUAGCGGUGUAAGUAGCGGCGGCGGUAGCGGCAAGCAGACAUGGGGGAGAAAUGGCUACGUGGUUUGGUGCUGCGGCGUCGUACCACGGCCGUACACGAGGACGGCUUACCUGCGAGGACUGUGUGCUCGUUAGGCUGCGGUUUUCCGGUUUUUGGAAGGGCGAUGUAUGCUGAGACCACUGCCGCAGCAAGUGCGGCAGCCAUGUCGUCGUGAUCACCGCUAUUUUCAGGCAUCACAGUUUCCAUAGAAGAUUAAGUAAACCGAUUUUUUAGUAGCAUGAGUAAAUCGUGAAAUCGUGCAAACACUGUAACACACAUCACGGCAACACUUUAGUUCUGAGCAUGUCGUGGCACCGUACGCAUUUAUUGCAUAUCUGAGAUGACCCGCGAGAAUUUCGGCGCUAUUUAUUUGCAGCCUGCGUGAUGCUGCUGCACAAAAUGACAGGGCUGUUGGCCUGCUGUUAAAGGCUGUGUCGGAGUAUUCACAUGGUCCUGAAUACUCCGCCUCUGCUUCAGCCUCUGCAGGCUACGGGGCAGUCCGGCUUUAGACGUCUGACAUUCGUGCCGGCGACCAAGCCUGAUGCCCAUUCUGCGCCUACCGGCGUUGACCUGAUUCCGUUGAACGAGGUACC
rnacentral:lncRNA from 1 species